CUCUCCUACGGGGCACAGCAGUGAGGAAUAUUGGUCAAUGGACGAGAGUCUGAACCAGCCAAGUAGCGUGAAGGAUGAUUGCCCUAUGGGUUGUAAACUUCUUUUAUAAAGGAAUAAAACGAGGCACGUGUGCCUUUUUGCAUGUACUUUAUGAAUAAGGAUCGGCUAACUCCGUGCCAGCAGCCGCGGUAAUACGGAGGAUCCGAGCGUUAUCCGGAUUUAUUGGGUUUAAAGGGUGCGUAGGCGGACAGUCAAGUCAGCGGUAAAAAUGCGGUGCUCAACGCCGUACAGCCGUUGAAACUGGC
rnacentral:rRNA from 1 species